rnacentral:misc_RNA from 1 species
GAUGAAGAACGCAGCGAAAUGCGAUAAGUAAUGUGAAUUGCAGAAUUCAGUGAAUCAUCGAAUCUUUGAACGCACAUUGCGCCCGCCAGAAUUCUGGCGGGCAUGCCUGUUCGAGCGUCAUUUCAACCCUCGGUCUCCCUCCGGGAGAGACCGGCGUUGGGGACCGGCACUUACCCCGCCGGCCCCGAAAUGAAGUGGCGGCCCGUCCGCGGCGACCUCUGCGUAGUAGCUCCACUCGCACCGGGACCCGGGCGCGGCCACGCCGUAAAACCCCCAACUUCCGAAUGUUGACCUCGAAUCAGGUAGGAAUACCCGCUGAACUUAAGCAUAUCAAUAAGCGGAGGA